AUUGAACGCUGGCGGCAGGCCUAACACAUGCAAGUCGAGCGCGCGUCGGGCGGGGGAGAAAUGUCCGGGAAACUGCCUGAUGGAGGGGGAGAACAACUGGAGACGGUAGCUAAUACCGCAUACCAUCAGAUGUGCCCAGAGGGGAGUAGCUAGUCGGUGGGGUAACGGCUCACCUAGGCGCAGAUCCCUAGCGGGUCUGAGAGGAUGACCAGCCACAUGGGAACUGAGACACGGUCCAGACUCCUACGGGAGGAAGAAGUGGGGAAUAUUGCACAAUGGGCGAAAGCCUGAUGCAGCCAUGCCGCGUGUGUGAAGAAGGCCUUCGGGUUGUAAAGCACUUUCAGCGGGGAGGCGUUACCCGCAGAAGAAGCACCGGCUAACUCCGUGCCAGCAGCCGCGGUAAUAC
rnacentral:rRNA from 1 species